rnacentral:rRNA from 1 species
UACGGAGGAGGCAAGCGUUAUCCGGAAUUAUUGGGCGUAAAGCGUCCGCAGGUGGCACCUCAAGUCUGCUGUCAAAGACCGGGGCUUAACCCCAGAAAGGCAGUGGAAACUGAAGUGCUAGAGUGCAGUAGGGGUAGAGGGAAUUCCCGGUGUAGCGGUGAAAUGCGUAGAGAUCGGGAAGAACAUCGGUGGCGAAAGCGCUCUGCUGGACUGCAACUGACACUCAGGGACGAAAGCUAGGGGGGCGAAUGGG